UACGAAGGGGGCUAGCGUUGCUCGGAAUCACUGGGCGUAAAGGGCGCGUAGGCGGCUCGUUUAGUCGGGUGUGAAAUCCCGGGGCUCAACCCCGGAACUGCAUUCGAUACUGGCGGGCUAGAGACCGGAAGAGGUGGGUGGAAUACCCAGUGUAGAGGUGAAAUUCGUAGAUAUUGGGUGGAACACCGGUGGCGAAGGCGGCUCACUGGUCCGGUACUGACGCUGAGGUGCGAAAGCGUGGGGAGCAAACAGGG
rnacentral:rRNA from 1 species